ACCAUGCAAGUCGACGGCAGCACAGAGAGAGCUUGCUCCUUGGGUGGCGAGUGGCGGACGGGUGAGGAAUACAUCGGAAUCUACUUUUUCGUGGGGGAUAACGUAGGGAAACUUACGCUAAUACCGCAUACGACCUACGGGUGAAAGCAGGGGACCUUCGGGCCUUGCGCGAUUGAAUGAGCCGAUGUCGGAUUAGCUAGUUGGCGGGGUAAAGGCCCACCAAGGCGACGAUCCGUAGCUGGUCUGAGAGGAUGAUCAGCCACACUGGAACUGAGACACGGUCCAGACUCCUACGGGAGGCAGCAGUGGGGAAUAUUGGACAAUGGGCGCAAGCCUGAUCCAGCCAUACCGCGUGGGUGAAGAAGGCCUUCGGGUUGUAAAGCCCUUUUGUUGGGAAAGAAAUCCAGCUGGCUAAUACCCGGUUGGGAUGACGGUACCCAAAGAAUAAGCACCGGCUAACUUCGUGCCAGCAGCCGCGGUAAUACGAAGGGUGCAAGCGUUACUCGGAAUUACUGGGCGUAAAGCGUGCGUAGGUGGUCGUUUAAGUCCGUUGUGAAAGCCCUGGGCUCAACCUGGGAACUGCAGUGGAUACUGGGCGACUAGAGUGUGGUAGAGGGUAGCGGAAUUCCUGGUGUAGCAGUGAAAUGCGUAGAGAUCAGGAGGAACAUCCAUGGCGAAGGCAGCUACCUGGACCAACACUGACACUGAGGCACGAAAGCGUGGGGAGCAAACAGGAUUAAUACCCUGGUAGUCCACGCCCUAAACGAUGCGAACUGGAUGUUGGGUGCAAUUUGGCACGCAGUAUCGAAGCUAACGCGUUAAGUUCGCCGCCUGGGGAGUACGGUCCCAAGACUGAAACUCAAAGGAAUUGACGGGGGCCCGCACAAGCGGUGGAGUAUGUUGUUUAAUUCGAUGCAACGCGAAAAACCUUACCUGGCCUUGACGUGUCAAGAACUUUCCAGAGAUGGAUUGGUGCCUUCGGAAAC
rnacentral:rRNA from 1 species